rnacentral:rRNA from 1 species
CAGGACGAACGCUGGCGGCGUGCCUAAUACAUGCAAGUAGAACGCUGAAGAGAGGAGCCUGCUCUUCUUGGAUGAGUUGCGAACGGGUGAGUAACGCGUAGGUAACCUGCCUUGUAGCGGGGGAUAACUAUUGGAAACGAUAGCUAAUACCGCAUAACAAUGGAUGACACAUGUCAUUUAUUUGAAAGGGGCAAUUGCUCCACUACAAGAUGGACCUGCGUUGUAUUAGCUAGUAUGUGAGGUAAUGGCUCACCUAGGCGACGAUACAUAGCCGACCUGAGAGGGUGAUCGGCCACACUGGGACUGAGACACGGCCCAGACUCCUACGGGAGGCAGCAGUAGGGAAUCUUCGGCAAUGGGGGCAACCCUGACCGAGCAACGCCGCGUGAGUGAAGAAGGUUUUCGGAUCGUAAAGCUCUGUUGUAAGUCAAGAACGGGUGUGAGAGUGGAAAGUUCACACUGUGACGGUAGCUUACCAGAAAGGGACGGCUAACUACGUGCCAGCAGCCGCGGUAAUACGUAGGUCCCGAGCGUUGUCCGGAUUUAUUGGGCGUAAAGCGAGCGCAGGCGGUUUGAUAAGUCUGAAGUUAAAGGCUGUGGCUCAACCAUAGUUCGCUUUGGAAACUGUCAAACUUGAGUGCAGAAGGGGAGAGUGGAAUUCCAUGUGUAGCGGUGAAAUGCGUAGAUAUAUGGAGGAACACCGGUGGCGAAAGCGGCUCUCUGGUCUGUAACUGACGCUGAGGCUCGAAAGCGUGGGGGAGCGAACAGGAUUAGAUACCCUGGUAGUCCACGCCGUAAACGAUGAGUGCUAGGUGUUGGAUCCUUUCCGGGAUUCAGUGCCGCAGCUAACGCAUUAAGCACUCCGCCUGGGGAGUACGACCGCAAGGUUGAAACUCAAAGGAAUUGACGGGGGCCCGCACAAGCGGUGGAGCAUGUGGUUUAAUUCGAAGCAACGCGAAGAACCUUACCAGGUCUUGACAUCCCGAUGCUAUUUCUAGAGAUAGAAAGUUACUUCGGUACAUCGGUGACAGGUGGUGCAUGGUUGUCGUCAGCUCGUGUCGUGAGAUGUUGGGUUAAGUCCCGCAACGAGCGCAACCCCUAUUGUUAGUUGCCAUCAUUCAGUUGGGCACUCUAGCGAGACUGCCGGUAAUAAACCGGAGGAAGGUGGGGAUGACGUCAAAUCAUCAUGCCCCUUAUGACCUGGGCUACACACGUGCUACAAUGGUUGGUACAACGAGUUGCGAGUCGGUGACGGCGAGCUAAUCUCUUAAAGCCAAUCUCAGUUCGGAUUGUAGGCUGCAACUCGCCUACAUGAAGUCGGAAUCGCUAGUAAUCGCGGAUCAGCACGCCGCGGUGAAUACGUUCCCGGGCCUUGUACACACCGCCCGUCACACCACGAGAGUUUGUAACACCCGAAGUCGGUGAGGUAACCUUUUGGAGCCAGCCGCCUAAGGUGGGACAGAUGA